AGAUUGAACGCUGGCGGCAGGCCUAACACAUGCAAGUCGAGCGGCAGCACGGGUACUUGUACCUGGUGGCGAGCGGCGGACGGGUGAGUAAUGCCUAGGAAUCUGCCUGAUAGUGGGGAUAACGCUCGGAAACGGACGCUAAUACCGCAUACGUCCUACGGGAGAAAGCAGGGGGACCUUCGGGCCUUGCGCUAUCAGAUGAGCCUAGGACGGAUUAGCUUAGGUUGGUGGGGUAAUGGCUCACCAAGG
rnacentral:rRNA from 1 species